GAUCAUGGCUCAGGAUGAACGCUGGCGGCGUGCUUAACACAUGCAAGUCGAACGGAGUUUUUAACGGAAGUUUCGGAUGGAAGUUUAAGAACUUAGUGGCGGACGGGUGAGUAACGCGUGGGUAACCUGCCUCAUACAGGGGGAUAACAGUUAGAAAUGACUGCUAACACCGCAUAAUAUAGUGAAACCGCAUGAUUUUGCUAUCAAAUAUUUAUAGGUAUGAGAUGGGCCCGCGUCUGAUUAGCUAGUUGGUGGGGUAAAGCCUACCAAGGCGACGAUCAGUAGCCGGCUUGAGAGAGUGACCGGCCACAUUGGGACUGAGACACGGCCCAAACUCCUACGGGAGGCAGCAGUGGGGAAUAUUGGACAAUGGGGGAAACCCUGAUCCAGCGAACCGCCGCGUGAGUGAAGAAGUAUUUCGGUAUGUAAAGCUCUAUCAGCAGGGAAGAUAAUGACAGUACCUGACUAAGAAGCCCCGGCUAACUACGUGCCAGCCGCUGC
rnacentral:rRNA from 1 species